AUUGAACGCUGGCGGCAGGCCUAACACAUGCAAGUCGAACGAGUGGCGGACGGGUGAGUAAUGUCUGGGAAACUGCCUGAUGGAGGGGGAUAACUACUGGAAACGGUAGCUAAUACCGCAUACCAUCGGAUGUGCCCAGGUGGGAUUAGCUAGUUGGUGGGGUAACGGCUCACCAAGGCGACGAUCCCUAGCUGGUCUGAGAGGAUGACCAGCCACACUGGACCUGAGACACGGCCCAGACGCCGACGGGAGGCAGCAGUGGGUAAUAUUGCGCAAUGGGGGCAACCCUGAUGCAGCCAUGCCGCGUGUAUGAAGAAGGCCUUCGGGUUGUAAAGUACUUUCGGUAGGGAGGCGUUACCUACAGAAGAAGCACCGGCUAACUCCGUGCCAGCAGCCGCGGUAAUAC
rnacentral:rRNA from 1 species